CCUACGGGAGGCUGCAGUAGGGAAUCUUCCACAAUGGGCGAAAGCCUGAUGGAGCAACGCCGCGUGGGUGAAGAAGGUCUUCGGAUCGUAAAACCCUGUUGUUAGAGAAGAAAGUGCGUGAGAGUAACUGUUCACGUUUCGACGGUAUCUAACCAGAAAGCCACGGCUAACUACGUGCCAGCAGCCGCGGUAAUACGUAGGUUGCAAGCGAUAUCCGGAUUUAUUGGGCGUAAAGGGAACGCAGGCGGUCUUUUAAGUCUGAUGUGAAAGCCUUCGGCUUAACCGGAGUAGUGCAUUGGAAACUGGGAGACUGGAGUGCAGAAGAGGAGAGUGGAACUCCAUGUGUAGCGGUGAAAUGCGUAGAUAUAUGGAAGAACACCAGUGGCGAAAGCGGCUCUCUGGUCUGUAACUGACGCUGAGGUUCGAAAGCGUGGGUAGCAAACAGGAUUAGAUACCCUUGUAGUC
rnacentral:rRNA from 1 species